CGAAGUAUAGCAUAUAAAAUGCUUUUUACUUACACUAAAAAUAAAGUUGACAUAACUUGCUUCGC
rnacentral:tRNA from 1 species